rnacentral:rRNA from 1 species
AUGGAGGUCUCCGCCUCCGCCUCUACGCCUCAAGCUCUCACCCUACUCACUUCCCCCCCUUGCUUCCUCUCUCUUUACCCUUCCGCCCGCCGGCACGGCCGCGCCGGCGGGGGAGGGCUCCUGCUGCGGCCUCCGCCUCAACGGAGGCUGGAGCUGGGGUACCGUGCCCGCCGCCCGGUGGCAUGCUCUCUCAGCGGCUCGUCCUCCACUGCGCUGGACGUGUUAGGCGGCUCGGUGGUCGCCGCGGCCGCUCUCCUCGCCGCCUUACAGCUGGUUUGGCUCAGGUGGCGCGGCGCAAUGCAUAGGGAAUCUCCGGAGGUUUUACAUACACAGGUCAAAAGCAAUGUAAACAAGGCCCUCGGAACAACAACCCAAUCCGUACAUGAUAGUAAUGAUGCAUGUUGUGCAACUCAUGAAAAUAGCUUUUCAGAGCUAUCUAUUUCUGAAGGAAUGAUUAUUAAUGAAUUGGAGUGCCGGGCUAGUAUUUCGUGCAUAUAUCCUGUAAAUAAGACAACACAGGCGGUUUCUGUAACUAAUCCAGGGGCAAUGUUACACACAUUAGUUGAUGUAUCUCGGCAAGAAGAAGUUGGUUGCUCAACUUCAGCAGAAAAAAGAAAUUCUACAAAAAAAGUUAUGGAUGUUCUUGCAACGUCUUAUUCCGGUCCACCAGGACAACAUAAAAGCAAGUAUGUCUCUAACAGAAUUGGCUGGCAAGGUGGGCUCUCAUACCAAUUUUUAUCCCUUUCAGAACUACAGAAAGAUGCUCAAAAUGGCAAUGGUCUUGGUGACAGCCAAACAAACAGCAACAAUGCUCAUUUACUUCGAUGCCAUCAGAGUAAUGAUGAUGAAAAUAUUGAUUUGACAUCUCUUUCAUCCUUCAAAAGAACAGUGGAAUGCCCUCUCAAUUUUGUUCCGCAAGCCAGUAUUGGAAAUUUGUUCAGACCAAGAAAAGCAAUUGAGUUUGCUGAUUCAUAUGUAGGGGGCUCUCAUCUGACACCAGGGAAAUUAGCUCUAUUUGCAUGCUUAAGGGAGGGUCCUGCCAGCAAACAACAGAAAGCAGUGAAAGACCAUGAUGAUGCAAAAACUAUUGGCUGGAGUAUUUCUGAUAUACUGAACAAAGAGAAUCUAGAUAAAUUCAUUCCAGCGACAACAGCUGGAAUAAACGGCACAGUGGAUACAUCAGAUUACAUGAGGCGAUACAAGAGUUCUUUAACAGAUGGAAGGUUGAAGGACUGUGUGGAUUUGUUGGAAAGCAUGGAGCAGAAGGGAUUGCUUGAUACGAAGAAGAUCCACCAUGCCAGCUUUUUGAGUGCAUGUAAAAAACAAAGGGCUGUUAUGGAAGCUGUUCGCUUCUGCCGAUUGAUUGAAAAUCCGAAAAUGAGCACCUUCAAUAUGCUUUUAUCGGUUUGUGCUAAUUCAAAAGAUUUUGAAGGGGCCCUCCAAGUUAUGGUGCUCCUAAAGGAGGCUGGGCUAAAACCCGAUUGUAAACUUUACACCACAUUGAUAUCAACUUGUGCAAAGUGUGGAAAAGUUGAUGCGAUGUUUGAGGUCUUCCAUGAGAUGGUUAGUGCUGGAAUAGAGCCAAAUGUUAACACAUACGGUGCACUAAUUGAUGGCUGUGCUAAAGCUGGGCAAGUAGCAAAAGCAUUUGGUGCUUACGGGAUCAUGAGUUCAAAGAAGGUGAAGCCAGAUCGAGUUGUCUUCAACGCUUUGAUCAGUGCAUGUGGUGAAUCUGGAGCUGUUGCUCGAGCUUUUGAUGUUUUAUCAGAAAUGACAGCAGAAUCCUCAGAAUCGAAAGGAUGCAAGCCAAUUCUUCCUGAUCAUGUCACAGUUGGAGCACUCAUGAAGACAUGUAUUCAGGCUGGCCAGGCUGAUCGAGCUCGUGAGGUUUACAAAAUGCUUCAGGAGUACAGUAUAAAAGGUACUCCAGAAGUUUACACAAUUGCACUGAGAAGCUGUAGCUUGACUGGCGAUUUAGGGUUUGCAUUGAAGAUCUAUGAAGAUAUGAACAAGAUCGGAGUUCAACCUGAUGAGAUGUUUCUGAGUGCUCUAGUUGAUGUGGCCGGCCACGCUAGGAGGGCUGAUGCUGCUUUUGAAAUAAUCAAAGAUGUAAGAGCAAAGGGAUUUCAUGUUGGAAUCAUGGCAUACAGUUCCUGUAUGGGCGCUUGCUGCAAUGCCAAGGACUGGAAAAAGGCGCUGCAGCUAUUUGAGGAGAUCAAGGCUAUCAAAUUAAUUCCAACAGUCCCGAUGAUGAAUGCUUUAAUUACUUCCCUCUGUGACGGCGAUCAAGUUUUAAAAGCUGCUGAGGUCCUUAAUGAGAUGAAGGAACUACGUGUCCGUCCAAAUGAGAUAACCUAUUCGGUCUUAUGUGUGGCUUGCGAAAGAAAUGGUGAAGCACAACUAGCUCUUGAUUUAUUUGAGCAACUAAAAGUAGAUGGUACUGGCCUCAAUCCCACCAUUGUCGGUUGUCUUACUGGUUUAUGUCUACAAAUGUUUUCCUAUGAUCUUUCACUUGGCAACAUCAUUGUCAGAUUCAACCAAGGGAAGCCACAGAUUGACAAUAAAUGGACAUCCUCAGCAAUUAUGGUUUUCCGUCAGGCAAUCACCGCUGGUCUGCUACCCUCAAGCGAUGUUUUAUCUCAAGUGCUGGGUUGUUUGAGGUUUCCUCAUGACAGUUCAUUGAAAACCACUUUCAUUGAUAAUAUGGGAAUAAGUUGUGAUAUGCCACAUCACCCCAAUACAAAUUCACUGUUGGAAGGAUUCGGUGAAUAUGAUAUUCGUGCUUUUUCAGUAUUGGAGGAAGGUGGCUUGUUAGGAGCAGUUGCAAGCACUUCCACAAAAUAUAGUCAAAUUGUCAUUGAUGCAAGAAAGUCAAACAUCUACACAGCCGAGGUUUCUCUUCUAUCGACAUUUAAGUCUUUGAAGCAUCGACUAGCUGCAGGUGCAAGGUUACCAAAUGUUACAAUUCUAUUACCCACCGAAAAGAAACAAGUUGAUCUUGAUGAAAGGGAGAAAACACUUAAACUUGCUGGAAGAGUCGGGCAAGCAGUUGGCUCCCUGCUGAGAAGAUUAGGAAUUAAAUAUCAAGGCGAGGAGUCCCACGGGAGGAUGAGGAUCAACGGCCUCACAUUAAGAAGGUGGUUUAACCCAAAAUUUACAAGCGCACCCUCCACAGGAGCUCCAGUUGAGUUGCUUCCACUGCCCUCGCGGUUAGCGAAAGGGAUUGCUGAUCAGCAGCGUGAUAUCAGAAGCCUUUCUCUAUAG